AUAAAUGUAGUUAAAUUAAUAUUAAUUUGUCAAAUUAAAGAUGGUUGAAUUCCUC
rnacentral:tRNA from 1 species